rnacentral:rRNA from 1 species
GAUUAACGCUGGCGGCGUGCAUGAAACAUGCAAGUCGAGCGCGGUAAACAGCGGGGUAACCUGCUGUUUAUCUAGCGGCGCACGGGUGAGUAACACGUGAGCAACCUACCUUCGAGUCGGGGAUAGCCCUGGGAAACCAGGAUUAAUACCCGAUGUGGUCACGACUGGACAUCCAGUUGUGAGUAAAGGCGAAAGCCGCUCGAUGACGGGCUCGCGGCCUAUUAGCUUGUUGGUGGGGUAACGGCCUACCAAGGCGAUGAUGGGUAGCUG